rnacentral:rRNA from 1 species
AAAUGCGAUAAGUAAUGUGAAUUGCAGAAUUCAGUGAAUCAUCGAAUCUUUGAACGCACCUUGCGCUCCUUGGUAUUCCGAGGAGCAUGCC